UACGUAGGGUGCGAGCGUUGUCCGGAAUUAUUGGGCGUAAAGGGCUCGUAGGCGGUCUGUUGCGUCGGGAGUGAAAACUCAGGGCUUAACCCUGAGCCUGCUUCCGAUACGGGCAGACUAGAGGUAUGCAGGGGAGAACGGAGUUCCUGGUGUAGCGGUGAAAUGCGCAGAUAUCAGGAGGAACACCGGUGGCGAAGGCGGUUCUCUGGGCAUUACCUGACGCUGAGGAGCGAAAGUGUGGGGAGCGAACAGG
rnacentral:rRNA from 1 species